rnacentral:rRNA from 1 species
CAGCACCUCAAGUGGUCAGGAGGAUUAUUGGGCCUAAAGCAUCCGUAGCCUGUUCUAUAAGUUUGCGGUUAAAUCUAUACGCUCAACGUAUAGGCUGCCGUAAAUACUGUAGAACUAGGGAGUGGGAGAGGUAGACGGUACUCGGUAGGAAGGGGUAAAAUCCUUUGAUCUAUCGAUGACCACCUGUGGCGAAGGCGGUC